ensembl:lncRNA uncharacterized LOC108963463
CCUAAAGCCGCCCAGCCAGGAAAAACGCCGAGUCCUGGAGCCCCCGGCCGGUCCCGAGCCUGAAAUUGGGGUGCUGUACUGGGACCAGUAAGGGAUUGGCACUGGGGAUACUGGGAACCGCAGGGUAGGACCCUACGUAUACUGGGGACCAGUAAGGGACCGGCACGGGGGACACUGGGGACCAGUAAGGAACUGGCACUGGGGACAUCAGGAGCCACAGGGUAGGAACCCCAUGUGUACUGGGGACCAGUAAGGGACAGGUACUGGGGACACUGGGGACCAGUAAGGGACUGGCACUGGGCGUAGUGGGGGCCGCAGGCAUUGAUGGAGGUGCCAGGAUCACGGCUCCAGGUGUGCUGGGACCAGUAAGCGCUUGGCACUGGGAGAAGCAGGAUGGGCCCGGGGAAAGCCCCGGGGGGAUGGGCCCGGGCUGGGGCCAACACCCAGCCCAGGAUUUUCCUUUGGCUCCGGCACUGUGAGGGGAUUCGGGAGACUUGAGCCGGAGCAGAGAGAAGAUUAAUCAGGAUUAUUGCGAUAUUAACUGGAAUAUUAACUGGGGAAACUGAGGGGAAACUGAGGCACGGAGUGGAGCCAACCCUCUGUCCCCACGAGCCUCCACCGCCCUCCCCGGGGCUUUUCCGAGCUCGCUUCGAAUCCGUCGCUCUCGUCCCUUUCGUUUCCUGUUUCGGAGGUUUCGCUCGUCGCUCACAAGCCGAAGGGGAAAUUCCCACCCCAAAUUUGCUGCUGCUCGGCUUUCAGGACCUGCCGCUCUCAGCUCGGCGUCACCGCGGCCACCGGGCAGGGCCAGCACGGUCCCACCGCGGUGCUCGCUCCCUCUCCUGCCCCCUGCCCAGGUGUGAUGGAGAUGCAGGAGGUGUUCCUGCAGCUCUGGGGGGAGGUGGCCAGGCUGCAGGAGCUGUGCUCGGAGCAGGGGCGGCUCCUCCGGAGGCUGAGGGCCAGGAAGGGACCGGUCCUGGACAUCCCGGUGUCGCUGCCUGUCCAGUGCACGGAGGAUGUGGGGACAGGGGACGGGCAAAGGUCACCUGAGAGCAGCCAAAACCACCCAGGAGUUCCGACAUCCAAAACACCCCACCUGGAGGGCUCUGCUUGUCCCGUGGGACAGCCCCAGGCCACCAACAGGCUCCCCCCCAGCCCUGGGCACGGCGCAGGAGCCGCAGGUCCUGGCAGCACCGAGGGGGACAAGGGGGAAGCCCCUGCCCGGAGAAGAACCCGGAUCCUCCCGGUCCCAUGGGAAGGAGGGAGAGCUCCCUGCAGCCCUCGGGAGCUGGAGACACUAAAUCCAGGGCCUGGGGACCCCUUCCCAAAUCUUCUGGAUCUCUACGAAGCCCCGGAAGCGCUUGAGAGGGAAGAGGCUCCCAAGGAUGUGGCUCUGGUGGAGAUCCGAGGGCCUGUGAAGACCUGCUGGACUCCGGGCUGGGUGCUGGAGGAGGGGAUGCUCAGCCCCAGCACUGAGGCUGCCCCGGGCUGUGAGCUGUGCCAGGACAUUCUCCCCUCGGAGGCAGCGGGACACGCGGAGUAUCUGAGCCACCUUCUGCUCCACCUGGAGUAGGACUCGUCCUCCCAGAGGGAAAUCCAUGGAUUUGCACCCUGAGCCACGGGACAAACUCUGGACAUUCCCAUCUCCAUGGGACAGACUCUGGACGUUACUACGGGACAGACUCUGGACAUUUCCCAUCUCCACAGGACAGACUCUGGACAUUCCCAUCUCCACAGGACAGACUCUGGACAUUCCCAUCUCCACAGGACAGACUCUGGACAUUCCCAUCUCCACAGGACAGACUCUGGACAUUCCCAUCUCCACAGGACAGACUCUGGACAUUUCCAAGUUGGGCUCAAUGGCCUUGGGGGGCUCCUCCAGCCCUGGAGCUGAUGAGGAUUCUGGGGUCCUGCUGCUGGUUUGGACUGGGAGCAGUUUCCAUGUUCCCUGUCUUUCUCCAUUCUCCUGGGAAUGUGGUCCCAGCUUUGGAUCACCCUGGUGUUUUGGGUUAUUGAUUGAUCCCUGUGGAUAUCGAAGCCGAUCCCAUCCUGGGUCUGGAGGUGUGAGGGGGAGCUGCAGCUCCUGGGAAUUCCUCAAAAUUUGCCUUUGACUGACUGGAAAUGAAUCUUCCACAAACAGUAGGGAUGCUUGGGAAGGCAAGUUGGUUUUUUCUAGGACUUUGGAAGGUUGGGUGGGAGAAUCUCAAGGUUUUUGGGGCCACUAAGAGUUAUUUUAAUUCAUUAACAGGAAUUUGAGUGUUUUAUAGCAUUUCCAUCAGUGGUAUCCAAUGUGUUUCCCAAAAUGGGGAAAUUGAAACACAAAGCCUCAGUUUCCAGUCCCUCUUUUCCUUUGGAAAAAUCUCAUCUCAGGCUUUUCUAUUUUGCACAUUUCUCCCA